GUGCCAGCCGCCGCGGUAAUACGAACCGUCCUAACGUUAUUCGGAAUCACUGGGCUUAAAGGGUGCGUAGGCGGCUCAGAAAGUUGGGUGUGAAAUCCCUCGGCUUAACCGAGGAAUUGCGCUCAAAACUACUGAGCUUGAGGGAGACAGAGGUGAGCGGAACUUAGGGUGGAGCGGUGAAAUGCGUUGAUAUCCUAAGGAACACCGGUGGCGAAAGCGGCUCACUGGGUCUUUUCUGACGCUGAGGCACGAAAGCCAGGGGAGCGAAGAGGAUUAGAAACCCCUGUAGUCC
rnacentral:rRNA from 1 species